GGAGAAGAUCUUGUGCCAAUUCGAUUGGAUAUGGAGUUGGAUGGAAUCAAACUUCGCGAUACGUUCACUUUCAAUAAAAACGAGAAAAUGAUCACUCCCGAGAUGAUUGCCGAAAUUAUGU
rnacentral:sRNA from 1 species